GACGAACGCUGGCGGCGUGCUUAACACAUGCAAGUCGAACGGGAAGGCCCUGCUUUUGUGGGGUGCUCGAGUGGCGAACGGGUGAGUAACACGUGAGUAACCUGCCCUUGACUUUGGGAUAACUUCAGGAAACUGGGGCUAAUACCGGAUAGGAGCUCCUGCUGCAUGGUGGGGGUUGGAAAGUUUCGGCGGUUGGGGAUGGACUCGCGGCUUAUCAGCUUGUUGGUGGGGUAGUGGCUUACCAAGGCUUGGACGGGUAGCCGGCCUGAGAGGGUGACCGGCCACAUUGGGACUGAGAUACGGCCCAGACUCCUACGGGAGGCAGCAGUGGGGAAUAUUGCACAAUGGGCGGAAGCCUGAUGCAGCAACGCCGCGUGCGGGAUGACGGCCUUCGGGUUGUAAACCGCUUUCGCCUGUGACGAAGCGUGAGUGACGGUAAUGGGUAAAGAAGCACCGGCUAACUACGUG
rnacentral:rRNA from 1 species